GUUUUUCAGUUUCGCUACCCUCUUCAUCUUCCUAUCUAGAGUUUAAAAGCAUACUUUAAAGAUGAGAAUCAAUGUAGAUGUGAAUUUCAAGUGUCAGCCGAUUGCAAAGGUUUUCAGUCUCACUUACAAUCUCCUCUAAACAGAUCUGGUGCAUCUCACAUUCGAUUUCUUUUUAAGAUUCAUGUAAGUAAAUUGUUGCAGGAAGGUCUACGGUUACUCCAUACAAUUUUGUUGAUCUGAGAUUUGUCACACUUCUUUAUCACUUCCAAAUCUCUUCUAAAUCACAACAGAGAGGGCUGCAAAAAUAUUAUUUAGAUAAAAAGCAUUUUGAAGUUUAUCUAUAGAUGAUCGGCUUUAGUUAUAUGGUGAGUAGUUCAUAAGUUUUAAUUUCUUUUUGAAAUCAUUCUUCGUUAUUUUUGUAUACCACUUUAAUCCGAUAACCUUUUCUAGGUACGACAAUGUCACUGCUCAUGGUUAUAUUUUUGAAUGGAAUAGUAAUAUAUCUAUGGUACAGAUGCAAAUCUUUUCAAAAAAGUUAUGCUUUUCGUAUUUUUUGUUUUUUUCCUAAAACAUGAACCGAGAACCUAAAAACUAGAGUAUGAGAGAGUGGGCAUAUGCAUGAAGAUAUAUCAGAUGGCCUCUGAUAACUAUGAUGAACAUGAUUACUAAAUUUUCUUCAGUACACUUUGAAAGUAGAACAUGCCUCUCGAAGUGGACUACGAGAAAGAAUUGGUGAGGACGUAGAAAAAGAUGAAGCAAAAUCUGAAAUCUAAAUCUCCCUCUACUACAACUUUGAAGAUAAAGCGCAAGAACUCCUACACGAUUAGGUAAUCCAUAUGUCUCUGGUUUUGUCUUUAAUUUGAUCAUCUCUACUACGUGAAGUUGUAGUUUAUUUGUAAGUUUUGAUUGACCUUGUUGGUAAGAUUUUCAUCUAUUCAUUCCUUUUAAAGAUACAUUGGAGGUAAUUUAUAAAAAAAGUAAUGUCCACAUCUUACCUCUAGCUUUAUGUUAUUCGGCUCUCCUCUUCUUUCCACAAUCAGAGAGGCUAAAAAGAAACAGAUAAAAAUAAUAAUAAAAAAUAAAUAAAAUAAAAAGAAACAGAUUACGUUUUGUUGCAGAUAUACAUUGGAUCUAUAAAGUUUUGAAAGUGAGAUGCAGUGUUGAAAAAUCAGAACCAGUGAAUGAAGAUGUGGAAGAAGAAGGUCAACAAUGGAGAAAGGGGAACUUGAAAAUCAAGCAUAGUCAAAAUAUACUCUUUGAAGAAACUACAAACGAGACUAGAGCGUGAGAAGGUUAAAAGAACAAACUAGAUAUAGCAGAAACUACAAACUAGAUAUCCAUAUAACACUUGUACAUGUUUGAACCGAAAUGUGUUAAAAAGAGUAUAUACUAAACGAGAU